rnacentral:rRNA from 1 species
GACAGAGGCCUCAAGCGUUAGGCGGAAUCACUGGGCUUAAAGCGUGCGUAGACGGUAGCGUAAGUCGGGUGUGAAAGCCCCGGGCUCAACCUGGGAAUUGCAUUCGAGACUGCUCUGCUAGGGUGCGGAAGAGGGAAGCGGAAUUUCCGGUGUAGCGGUGAAAUGCGUAGAUAUCGGAAGGAACACCAGUGGCGAAAGCGGCUUCCUGGUCCAGCACCGACGUUCAGGCACGAAAGCGUGGGGAGCAAACAGG